AACGCGAAGAACCUUACCUGGGCUUGAACCGCACAGGACCACCCCGAGAAAUCGGGGCUUCUCGCAAGAGACCUGUGUAGAGGUGCUGCAUGGCUGUCGUCAGCUCGUGUCGUGAGAUGUUGGGUUAAGUCCCGCAACGAGCGCAACCCUCGUCCUAUGUUGCCAGCGGGUAAUGCCGGGGACUCAUAGGAGACUGCCGGGGUCAACUCGGAGGAAGGUGGGGAUGACGUCAAGUCAUCAUGCCCCUUAAGUCUUGGGCUGCAAACAUGCUACAAUGGCCGGUACAGAGGGCUGCGAGACCGCAAGGUGGAGCGAAUCUCAAAAAGCCGGUCUCAGUUCGGAUUGGGGUCUGCAACUCGACCCCAUGAAGUCGGAGUCGCUAGUAAUCGCGAAUCAGCAACGUCGCGGUGAAUACGUUCCCGGGCCUUGUACACACCGACUGUAC
rnacentral:rRNA from 1 species